UCGAGCGAGUCUGCCUUGAAGAUCGGAGUGCUUGCACUCUGUGAAACAAGAUACAGGCUAGCGGCGGACGGGUGAGUAACACGUGGGUAACCUGCCCAAGAGAUCGGGAUAACACCUGGAAACAGAUGCUAAUACCGGAUAACAACAGAUGAUGCCUAUCAACUGUUUAAAAGAUGGUUCUGCUAUCACUCUUGGAUGGACCUGCGGUGCAUUAGCUAGUUGGUAGGGUAACGGCCUACCAAGGCGAUGAUGCAUAGCCGAGUUGAGAGACUGAUCGGCCACAUUGGGACUGAGACACGGCCCAAACUCCUACGGGAGGCAGCAGUAGGGAAUCUUCCACAAUGGACGCAAGUCUGAUGGAGCAACGCCGCGUGAGUGAAGAAGGGCUUCGGCUCGUAAAGCUCUGUUGUUGGUGAAGAAGGACAGGGGUAGUAACUGACCUUUGUUUGACGGUAAUCAAUUAGAAAGUCACGGCUAACUACGUGCCAGCAGCCGCGGUAAUACGUAGGUGGCAAGCGUUGUCCGGAUUUAUUGGGCGUAAAGCGAGUGCAGGCGGCUCGAUAAGUCUGAUGUGAAAGCCUUCGGCUCAACCGGAGAAUUGCAUCAGAAACUGUCGAGCUUGAGUACAGAAGAGGAGAGUGGAACUCCAUGUGUAGCGGUGAAAUGCGUAGAUAUAUGGAAGAACACCGGUGGCGAAGGCGGCUCUCUGGUCUGUUACUGACGCUGAGGCUCGAAAGCAUGGGUAGCGAACAG
rnacentral:rRNA from 1 species